GGCCUUUUGUAAAAAAUUUAAGGUCUAAUCUGCCCACUGAAGAAUUAAAUGGCCGCGGUAAUUUGACCGUGCUAAGGUAGCAUAAUCAUUAGUUUUUUAAUUGAAAGCUGGAAUGAAUGAUUGAAUAAAAAAAUAACUGUCUCUAUUUAAAUAAUAAUGAAUUUUAUUUUUAAGUAAAAAAGCUUAAAUAAAAUUAAAAGACGAGAAGACCCUAUAGAGUUUAAUAAAAUUAUUUAUUUUUAAUUUUAGAAUUUUUAUAAUAAAUUAAUAAUUUUAUUUUAUUGGGGCGAUAAAUAAAUUAAUUAAACUUUAGUAUUUUUAACCAUGAAUAAGUGAGUAAUUGAUCCAUUAAUAAUGAUUAAAAGAUUAAAUUACCUUAGGGAUAACAGCGUAAUUUUUUUUUAGAGUUCAAAUUAAAAGAAAAGAUUGCGACCUCGAUGUUGGAUUAAAAUUAAAUUUUGGUGUAGAAGCUAAAUAUUUAGGUCUGUUCGACCUUUAAAAUUUUACAUGA
rnacentral:rRNA from 1 species